rnacentral:rRNA from 1 species
GACGAACGCUGGCGGCGUGCCUAAUACAUGCAAGUUGAGCGCUGAAGGUUGGUACUUGUACCGACUGGAUGAGCAGCGAACGGGUGAGUAACGCGUGGGGAAUCUGCCUUUGAGCGGGGGACAACAUUUGGAAACGAAUGCUAAUACCGCAUAAAAACUUUAAACACAAGUUUUAAGUUUGAAAGAUGCAAUUGCAUCACUCAAAGAUGAUCCCGCGUUGUAUUAGCUAGUUGGUGAGGUAAAGGCUCACCAAGGCGAUGAUACAUAGCCGACCUGAGAGGGUGAUCGGCCACAUUGGGACUGAGACACGGCCCAAACUCCUACGGGAGGCAGCAGUAGGGAAUCUUCGGCAAUAGACGAAAGUCUGACCGAGCAACGCCGCGGGAGUGAAGAAGGUUUUCGGAUCGUAAAACUCUGUUGGUAGAGAAGAACGUUGGUGAGAGUGGAAAGCUCAUCAAGUGACGGUAACUACCCAGAAAGGGACGGCUAACUACGUG